rnacentral:lncRNA from 1 species
GAUUGUAGGAUUUGUUAGGAUGCUAGAAUGGAAUUUAGAAGCAUGAUAGGAUGAAUUCGUUUCUGAAGUAAUGAUAGUUGAACUUGUUGGAUUAAUGGAAUUGUUUGAUUGGAUUUUUGUUUAAGUCUUCCGCUGGUUACGUUGAAUUGGUUGUGUUAGUAAGAUUGUCUGGUUUGCUUUAAAUGGGUUAAUCCGGAUUGUUUGCAUGUUUAAAAGAAAAAAAAAUGGGAUGGGUUCUUUCAAUUUAUAAGAUAAAAUAUGAUGUAAGUUAUAAUUCUAAAAUAAUUAAAUUAGAUGAGUUAUAAUUAUAUUUUAUAGUGUGUUAACUGAAAUUGAAUGGAGGAAACAAAUAGUCAAUUGAAAGGUUAUAUAAUUUAAGUUACAAUUUAAUAGUAAAGUGUGUAUUU